rnacentral:rRNA from 1 species
AUUGAACGCUGGCGGCAUGCUUUACACAUGCAAGUCGAACGGCAGCGCGGGGCAACCUGGCGGCGAGUGGCGAACGGGUGAGUAAUACAUCGGAACGUACCCAGAAGUGGGGGAUAACGUAGCGAAAGUUACGCUAAUACCGCAUACGUUCUACGGAAGAAAGUGGGGGAUCGCAAGACCUCAUGCUUUUGGAGCGGCCGAUGUCUGAUUAGCUAGUUGGUGAGGUAAAGGCUCACCAAGGCGACGAUCAGUAGCUGGUCUGAGAGGACGACCAGCCACACUGGGACUGAGACACGGCCCAGACUCCUACGGGAGGCAGCAGUGGGGAAUUUUGGACAAUGGGCGCAAGCCUGAUCCAGCAAUGCCGCGUGAGUGAAGAAGGCCUUCGGGUUGUAAAGCUCUUUUGUCAGGGAAGAAACGGCUGAGGUUAAUACCUUUGGCUAAUGACGGUACCUGAAGAAUAAGCACCGGCUAACUACGUGCCAGCAGCCGCAGUAA